UCGUCCCUAAGGCCUCAACGUCACACGCACGCGCAUGCGCAGUCAACGUAGGGACGAGAAUGGCGCAGGCCGGACUCGAGGGUACUUGCGUUUCUGUUUUUCUCCUUUUGGGAGACAGGCAGCUGGCCCAUAGAAGGUGGGCAGAACUCCAGCUAAGAGGACAAAGCUGGCUGGUUGGUGGAUGAUAGCUGCCCUUGUAACGGAGGCUGGCUGUUGAAGGAGGAGACCCGUGCUUGGGAGUUCUGCAAGCUGAUUCGUUACUGGGAAAAAGUUUGCUAACCCCUGAUGUCAAGGAAGGAACAUGUCGUUCUAAGCCUCGGAUCACACAACUUGGAAUCCAUACUUGUUUUUAUAAUGUACAUUUCAGAGUUUUAAUUUCUCAUCUGAGAAAUGGGAGACCGUAUUCCUGGGGCCAACUGGCCACUUAGCUCACUAAUUACGAUUAUGACACUGACUAAAAUCAUGAGUGUGGAAAUGCGUGGGAAGCUGUAAAAAGUUAUGAAGAAUGCUCAAUAUCAUUUGGACUGUUUUCAAAGCAUUUGACAAAAGAGAGACAGCCAAGAAAGUUGUUUUUUUCCUCAAUAGAGGUAAAGAGGAAAUAAAUAAUAAUGAUUGCCAAA